rnacentral:lncRNA from 10 species
ACUCUGUGAAGCAAGGAUUAGAAAAAAGAUUCAAAAUACAUUCCGAGGAGCAGAUCUUUCUGUGGUAACACUGCAUUCCAAAUGUGCGAAAAAGACAGGGAAAAACAUGAACUGCAAUAAAUUACGGCUAAAAUAAUAACACAUAUACAAAAAAUAUUGAAAUUUUUACAUAUAUAUCUACUGACUUUACCACAGCCUGGAUUAAGAUGUAGAACAUGAAGUAUAUCACAAGAACUGUUCUCAUGCCCCUGUCAUCCAUAUCACCCCAUUAAAGUUGUCGAGGGAUGGACCUGGUGGAACAUGAUUGGCUCAUAGGGGUGGUUUCCCCCACUGCUGUUCUCAUGAGAUCUGAUGGUUUUAUAAGGGGCUCUUCCCCCUUUGCUCUCUGCUCACACUCUCUCCUGCUGCUUUAUGAAGAAGGUGCCUGCUGCUUCUUCCCGUGGUUGUAAGUUUCCUGAGGCCUCCCCACCCAAGCAGAACUGUG